rnacentral:rRNA from 1 species
AUGGUGCAAUAUCCGAGCUUGUACCGGAUUGUUAGACAUAAAUUUGUCACGAUCAAACAAGUUUUAGGACAAGUAAACCCCGAUAAUUCUUUUCGUAGGGAUCUGUUCGGCAAUCGUCUAGCAGCAUGGAAUGAAUUACUCACUCGCCUGGAGGACAGUUUUCAAUGGAACUUGCAUCAGAAUGACAAAUUUUCUAUCAAAUCCAUGUAUGAUGCAAUGGUCCAUUGUGAUAUUCCGGUUGAUAACAUGAAAUUGUGGAAGCUAAAAAUUCCCCUAAGAGUGAAGAUUUUCCUCUGGUUUCUAAAAGGAGUCAUCCUAACUAGAGAUAAUUUGGCACGAUGAAAUUGGCAGGGGUCCAAGACAUGUAUGUUUUGCCAACAUGACGAGUCCAUCAAACACUUAUUUUUUGAGUGCAAGUUCGCUCGGGCAGUGUGGGCCAUGGUCCAAGCAGCGUAG